rnacentral:rRNA from 1 species
GACGAACGCUGGCGGCGUGCUUAACACAUGCAAGUCGAACGAAGAGCGAUGGAAGCUUGCUUCUAUCAAUCUUAGUGGCGAACGGGUGAGUAACGCGUAAUCAACCUGCCCUUCAGAGGGGGACAACAGUUGGAAACGACUGCUAAUACCGCAUACGAUCUAAUCUCGGCAUCGAGGAUAGAUGAAAGGUGGCCUCUAUGUAUAAGCUAUCACUGAAGGAGGGGAUUGCGUCUGAUUAGCUAGUUGGAGGGGUAACGGCCCACCAAGGCGAUGAUCAGUAGCCGGUCUGAGAGGAUGAACGGCCACAUUGGGACUGAGACACGGCCCAGACUCCUACGGGAGGCAGCAGUGGGGAAUCUUCCGCAAUGGACGAAAGUCUGACGGAGCAACGCCGCGGGAGUGAGGACGGCCUUCGGGUUGUAAAGCUCUGUUAAUCGGGACGAAAGGCCUUCUUGCGAAUAGUGAGAAGGAUUGACGGUACCGGAAUAGAAAGCCACGGCUAACUACGUG